rnacentral:rRNA from 1 species
AGAGUUUGAUCCUGGCUCAGGACGAACGCUGGCGGCGGGCCUAAUACAUGCAAGUGGAACGCAUGAUUGAUACCGUAGCUUGCUACACCUAAUCAUGAGUCGCGAACGGGUGAGUAACGCGUAGGUAACCUGCCUACUAGCGGGGGAUAACUAUUGGAAACGAUAGCUAAUACCGCAUAAGAGUUUUUAACACAUGUUAGAAAUUUAAAAGGAGCAAAUGCUUCACUAGUAGAUGGACCUGCGUUGUAUUAGCUAGUUGGUAAGGUAACGGCUUACCAAGGCGACGAUACAUAGCCGACCUGAGAGGGUGAUCGGCCACACUGGGACUGAGACACGGCCCAGACUCCUACGGGAGGCAGCAGUAGGGAAUCUUCGGCAAUGGGGGGAACCCUGACCGAGCAACGCCGCGUGAGUGAAGAAGGUUUUCGUAUCCCCCCCCUCUGUUGUAAGAGAAGAACGUUAAAAAAAGUAAAGAGUUACUCAAGUGACGGUAUCUUACCAGAAAGGGACGGCUAACUACGUGCCAGCAGCCGCGGUAAUACGUAGGUCCCGAGCGUUGUCCGGAUUUAUUGGGCGUAAAGCGAGCGCAGGCGGCUCUGUAAGUCUGAAGUUAAAGGCAUUGGCUCAACCAAUGUUCGCUUUGGAAACUGCAGGG